GAUGAACGCUAGCGGCAGGCUUAACACAUGCAAGUCGAGGGGCAGCGAGGGUAGCAAUACCUGUCGGCGACCGGCGGAAGGGUGAGUAACGCGUGAGCAACAUACCCGUAUCAGUGGGAUAAUACAGGGAAACUUGUUCUAAUAUCGCAUAAUAUUAUUCAGAGGCAUCUUUGGAUAAUUAAAGUUACGGCGGAUACGGAAUGGCUCGCGUGACAUUAGCUAGAUGGUAGGGUAAUGGCCUACCAUGGCGAUGAUGUCUAGGGGUUCUGAGAGGGAGGUCCCCCACACUGGAACUGAGACACGGUCCAGACUCCUACGGGAGGCAGCAGUGAGGAAUAUUGGACAAUGGAUGGAAAUCUGAUCCAGCCAUGCCGCGUGCAGGAAGGCGGCCCUAUGGGUUGUAAACUGCUUUUGUACGGGAGCAAUAAGGUUUACGAGUAGAUUGAUGAGAGUACUGUACGAAUAAGCAUCGGCUAACU
rnacentral:rRNA from 1 species